UACGAAGGGGGCUAGCGUUGCUCGGAAUUACUGGGCGUAAAGCGUAUGUAGGCGGAUCGUUAAGUCGGGGGUGAAAUCCCGAGGCUCAACCUCGGAACUGCCUUCGAUACUGGCGAUCUUCGAGUCCGGGAGAGGUGAGUGGAACUCCGAGUGUAGAGGUGAAAUUCGUAGAUAUUCGGAAGAACACCAGUGGCGAAGGCGGCUCACUGGCCCGGUACUGACGCUGAAAUACGAAAGCGUGGGGAGCAAACAGG
rnacentral:rRNA from 1 species